UACAGAGGGUGCGAGCGUUAAUCGGAAUUACUGGGCGUAAAGCGCGCGUAGGCGGCUUUGCAAGCCGGAUGUGAAAUCCCCGGGCUUAACCUGGGAACUGCAUUCGGGACUGCAUUGCUAGAGUAUGGGAGAGGGAAGUGGAAUUUCAGGUGUAGCGGUGAAAUGCGUAGAUAUCUGGAGGAAUACCGGUGGCGAAGGCGGCAUCCUGGACCAUAACUGACGCUGAGGCGCGAAAGCUAGGGGAGCAAACGGG
rnacentral:rRNA from 1 species